ACCGGCCAAGCAUGCCCUCAGUGAUUUUGAUGUUGGGCAGCGAGAUUGUGUUGCCUCAGCCAAAGCAACCCGGUUACUUGGAGGACAGGAAAUCUACCAGACAAGAUUAUUCAUCAAGCACGCCUGAAUCAUGUUCAACAAAUACAAUUACGAUCUCUGAGUUGGAGGGUCGGUAGAGAAUCUAUUUGUGGUAUCAAGUGCAAAAGCAGUAAUAUGUCAACCAAAUGGAAAGUUAAGAUAAAUGAUUGGAGAAAAAAUGAUGAGGAUCAUCCAGUGAAUGCAUGUUGUGGAUCUAAAAGUUCAGAAGAUAGGACAAUUUUGCAGCUGACUGGUUGGCUAAAAAUGCAGGCUCUAUGCCUCUCGGAUUUCAUGUUUAUCAAGAACCUCCUGUAGGUCAUGAUCCUUGGCUUUGUUAUGAUAGGUAUGGGACAAUGAUUUCUCAUUCGGUUGUGUCUUAACUUGGCUAAGCCUAUUUUUGGUAAAAAAAAAAAAAAGAAUUUAAACUAAUGUUCAUAUAGAAAUUGUAAAUUAGAGGUACUGUGAGCAGUGUUGGGUCAAAAAAAUGAUUAACCCAGACUUAAAUUAAAUAAAAGCAAGACAUUAUAAUUGUUUUGAUAUAAAAUAUUUGCUAAUACAUUUAUGAGAAUAUCUUUGGUGCUUUUGGAGCAUUUUUAUCUAUUCACAAUUUAUUACUUGUGUAUAUAUGUCAUCAGGAUUAGUAGAAACAUACACAUGACAAAGUGUAAAUGAAAAAGGAGAAGCUCUCCAAGAGUACCCAAGAUUUUUUCUACAUUUUGAAAAUCAUGUGCAAUAUACUCAUUAUCAAUACUAUUAAGUACAUCCUUUUCUACGUAAACAACAAAAUUAACAUUCAUUCAUUCAUCUCUCAUCCAAUUUCAACGUUGACUCUUCAUGAACUUAAUUGCUGAAAACGUUCUCUCUACUGUGGCUAUGGGAAUCGAAAAAAUUAUAGUUAAGUGUCACCAACGAAUACAUUAAUACUGUAAUGGAUAUUCUUUAUCUUUUUUAGUCUCAAACUGUUCUUUUAGCAACUCAUUGAUUCCCUUCAUUCCUGCAAACCUGCCUAAUUGUUCUUUCCUAAUUUAACGCAAGCCCUAAUUUUCUGUUCUUUUUAGAACAAGAAAGAUAAAAUUUGUGAUUGGAGGAGUGGCUAAUUAUUAUUUUUAAUAAAAUUGAAUCUAUUUUUUUGAAAUAGAAAAAUGUUUUGGGUUGUGGGUUAUUAUUAUUUUUAAAUAAAGCGUGACUUUAAAAGUUCAAGUUAAAAUUUAAAUUUUGUAGGUUUAUGAAUGUAUAGAGGCUAUUUUAAUAGAUUGAUGAAGGUUAAUUAGAAACCGAAAUGAUUUUUUCUUUUAAUUUUUUUUUUGUCUUUAACAUGCUAAAUCCACCACUCCUACCGAUAAGAAUUGGGAUGAUUUAUUUUUAUCUUAAUGAUCAUAAUAAAAAUCUUUUAAAAAUUUUACUAUUUUAUCAAAAUUAUUAUUUAAAAAUUAUAUUUACCCCAAUUUUUUUUUUAACUACAAUAUUUUUUUUUCACCACACGACUGUAACUUUUAAUAUAACUUAGGUUAUCAAAAUUUUGAGCUUCAUUCAACCAACCAUAACUAUCAUGAUCAAAGUCUACGUUGCUUAAGUCAAGAAGGACUUUAAUGGGAGGGAGAUAAUUAUUAUUAUCGACAUUACAAAUGGACCCCAAUUAUAUCUAAAGUCUUUGGGCUCCUGUCUCGUUUUCUUCUUCUUUUUCAAAACCCUAUUUACUAACCAUUAAUUUGGUUGGUUGAUGAAUCCGGCCGUUUCUGAUUUUCUUAUUUAUUUUGAUGGGAGUGACCCCCUAACGAUGGCAUCGCAAUCUCAUGAAAAAAAAUUUCCAAACGCAUGAAAAUUGGACACCCGUCAACAAAAAUCUUUUUGUUACAGUAUUUACUGUACUUUCAAAAAUUUGAACAUGACAAAAAUUAAGUAAUCUACUUAUUAUAAUAAUCUAUGACCAAAAAUAUUGAACAUGUAUUUUUUUUUUUUGUAAUUAUACACGCACAUCACUCUUUUACGAUUAAUUGACUAAACUUGUAUGAUAAACGAUUUUAUAAUGGAUUGUCUCAUAAUCUAAAUUUAUCAAAUAUCUUAAUGGUGAGACUAUUUGAAUUGAAUCCAUAAAAUUCUUUUAAAAUUUUCUUUACAACUUAUAACAUACUUUUCAGAAAGUCUGUCGAGUACUAAUUCAGAAAUUUAUUUCAAUAUAUAUCAAGAAAAAUUAUUUGGUUAAGAGAAAUGAGCCCCUUUGAAAAUUUGAGUUGGUGAAGCAUGAGCUCAUCAUUAGUCAACCCAUCAAAUUAUUCAAGAAACACAUUUGCCCCACACAUCCAUAAUUAAUUAAAAGGAUGGAAUUAUUUGAACUUAUUAAAUUUCUCUUAAGAUCCAUUUAUUUAAUAUAUCCUCUGUCAAAAUCUUAAAAUUAAAUUUUAACUCUAUAAACCUCUUAAUACCCCACAAAUAACCGUUUUAUGGUUGGUGCAAUAAUUUAGAUAAUUAAAUUAUUUAUUAUUUUGGUAAUUUUUAUUUAAGAUUAUUUUUGUAAUAUAAAUUUUUAUUUAAAAUAGGUCUAAGGUGCAUUUUUAUGGGGGCCCAAAUGACCUUAAAAUUAGAAAAAGUUAAAUUUUACCAUAUAAAAGUAAAACCUCUUGUAAUUCCUAAAGUAUCCUUGAUUAGAUUUCUUUUUUUAAUUUUAAUAUUUUCUCUCUUCUAUAGAAGUUGCUAUAUCCUUUCUUGGUAAGAUGCUCUGUUCAGGCUUCCAUGUAUUUGGCUUGAAUUGGCAACUUAACUCGAAUCAAUUCGGUUUAUGCCUUUGAUCAAACUCAUUUCGCCUCUCCAAGAAUCUGCAAAAUUAAUUGGUAUUAUCAUGUCGGUGCUGCUUAUAAUUGGCAGUGCUUGCAUUGCCCUGAAUCCAGGCGUUGCUCGAGUAUAGUUGGGCUUCCUUAUUCAUUUUAGUGACAGAUGAAAACAUUAAAAAAAAAAAUCAGGACUUGUUUGUCAAAAUUUACAGAUAUUUUGUUCUUUAAUUAAUUUUAUUGUUACAAACAAUAGGAUAGCAGUGUCGUUGAACCAGUUGCUUACACCUGGGGCAACAUAGUUUUUUUUUUUUUUUUUAGUUUGUGAGAUGGCCAAUAUCUGUGUAUAUAUAUAUAUAUAUGGAUCCCCCUAUCUUACAUGCAUGUAAGAUACAUCCCUCUCACAUGAAUAGUGUAUGGACCCCACACAUGCACAAUUCAUGUGAGGGGGAUAUAUCUUACAUGCAUGUAAGAUAGAGAUGUAUCUUACAUGUGAGGGGGAUGUAUCUUACAUGCAUGUAAGAUAGGAAUUACCAUAUAUAUAUAUAUAAUUAUUGACUCAAUGUGUAAAAGGUACCAAUAUUGACUCAAUGUGUCAAAUUUCUUGAAAAGUUUAACAUCAAAUGCCUUUUUUCCACUGUUGUUAGUAUAAGUCAAACGGCCCACCCUUCUGUCCUUCACAUGUUCUGCGUUCCCCAUGUUCACAUUUUACAAUAUUAAAUAGAGAAUUUUGAGUCCAGAAGCAAUGACUUUCUGGUCAGUCCCCUCCAAGAUGGAUUAUCAGUAAUGGUGUUUAAUUAUAUUUAUUUAAUUUGUUAGAGAGAGCUCUACGUCUAUAGAGUAUAACAAAUGGAUGUAUUUAUGUUUUCCUUCAUCUGUUGUAAGUUACUGUUUUUCUUGUCUGAAUCCUCUUUCGCUUCCGACACCAUUACUUCAUCUCAGUCCCUCAGUGAUGGCAGGACCUUAGUUUCAAAAGAUGGAAGCUUUGAGCUUGGUUUCUUCAGUCCUGGUAGUUCCAAGAAUCGUUACGUGGGAAUUUGGUACAAAAAUAUGCCAGUUGUUAAGGAAGCUUACAGUGUACAAAAGGGAGUUGCAUAUUGAGCACGUGUGUGUCAAUGAUGAGUCAUCAGUUAGUUGAGUAAAGAAGCCAGCUCAACAAAUCUGUUAAUCAUGUUUUACGUUCUGUUCUUCAAUUGUUAGUAAUGCUUUAAUUCUGUUGAGAUUUGUGAGUUAGUAUAAAUAAGGUUGUGAUUGUAUUUGUAAUUAAUAACGUGAGAUUCAAUAAAAGUAAAUAGUUUCUAAGAAAAUCUUAUCAUCAUUUUCUUAGCUUCCAAACAACUUUUACAGUCACGAUCCAACUUUCAAACAUGGUAUCAAAGCCAGUAAGAGCAAGCUCUAGUACUCAGCAAACAAAUCAACAAAGUCAAAUAAAUUUUUCUUUCAACACUCCAAUUACACUAGAUCGAUCAAACUAUCUACUUUGGCGUUUUCAAGUUUUAGCUUCCAUAAGAGGCAAUCGAUUGGAAGGCUUCAUCAAUGGAACAAAACCAGCACCUGAAGAACAGUUCACUCAAGUUGGAGCUGAUGGAUCUAUUCAGAAAAUUGAUAAUCCAGAAUAUCAGAAUUGGAGAUCACAGGAUCAAACAUUGUUUGGAUGGAUGCUAUCAUCAAUAAGUGAAGGUACUCUAAACCUUGUCAUAAAUUGUGGUAGCUCGUUUGAUGUUUGGAGAACUUUAGAAAAGAAAUUUGGUGUGCAAUCUGAAGCUAGGGUUUUUCAACUUAGAUAUGAGUUAAAUACUCUUAGGAAGGAAUCAAUGAGUAUUGAAGAUUACUGCAUCAAAAUGAAAACUGUAGCAGAUAAACUUGCUAGUGCUGGAAGUCCUAUAACAGAGAAAGAUCUCAUGCUGACAAUUCUUAAUAGCUUAGGAGCAGGCUAUCGUGAUAUUGCUAGGGCUUUAUAACUGGUUCAAAAAUGGACUAUGAUGAUGCUUAUGCAUUAUUAUUAACUCAUGAAACCAGACUUGAACAAGAGCAGAAUGAUAAAAGCAUGUUUAAUGCAAAUUAUGCUUAUACAAAUGCCUAUUAUCCAAGGGCAUUCUAUGCUCAAUCAAGAAAUAAUUUUAGAAGAGGAGGACAUGCUGGUGCUCAGUUUGGCAAUAAUGGUAGAAAUCAUACUGCUAGAAGAGGAAAUAUUUUUCAGUCUCCAAGGAUGUUUAAUGGCAAUCACAGAGGUGGAUAUGGAAGAGGACACUCAUUUGGCCCAAAUAAUGUUAACUCCUUUCAUGCACUUAGGAAUUCAAUGCAAUUCACUCGGACUGGAGUUACUAAUAUGAAUGGACCUCAAGGAAUUCCAAGCAAUGCAGAAGAAUUGGUUUGCCAGAUUUGCUUUAAGCCUGGUCACACUGCUGAUAUUUGCUGGCAUCGAUUUGUGGAGGAUUAUGUCCCUUAUUCAAGGAGUCUAGGCAGAGGAAAAGGACCAAGAUCAGCAUAUAUUGCUAAUUUUGAUGGCUUUACAUAUCCAUAUCAAGGUUAUGAUAACUAUGAUAAUCAUCCUGCAUCUGAGACAAGCUGCUAUUCUGGAAUUGAUAACUAUGCACUUGCAGAAGCUUAUGUGGCUAAUUUUGAAAGCUUUGCUGAUGAUGGCUGGUAUUUGGAUAAUAGGGCAACUCAUCACUUGACCAACAACAUGGAGAACUUGCAUUUUAAGGAAGACUACAAAGGUACUGAUCAACUCAUUAUUGGAAAUGGUCAAGGUCUGUCAAUUUCCCAUAUUGGUCAUGCAUUUUUAUCAUUUAGAGCUUCAAAACAUCCUUACACACAUGCCUCCACUAUAACACUUAAAGAUAUGUUGCUUGUUCCUACAAUCACUAAGAAUUUACUAAGCAUCUCCAAACUUACAUCUGAUAAUUCACUCUCUGUUGAAUUUUGUGGAAAUGUUUGUUAUGUUAAGGACAUGAAGGGGCAAGUUCUUCUGCAGGGCCUUGCUGAGAAAGGUCUUUACAAGCUGUUGAUGAAAUCUUCUUCCAUGUCAUCUUUUGCUUAUCACGCAUCACCUGCCUUUCAUCUUUCUCAACUUCAGUCACAUAAACCAAUAUCCAUGCUGUCAUGCUCAAAUGUGUCUUCUAUUUCUCAUCAUUGUAAUUCCUUUGAUAAGACUUGUUUCAGCUCAAUUUCAAAUAAGUGUAACCAGAAACAUGAUGAACUUACCUUGUUACACAAAAAGUUUGGUCAUCCAAGCUCAACAGUAUUGAUGCAUUUUCUUAAGACUUGUAAACCAGUUAAAGUCUCUCAAAAAUCAAUUUUAUCUCCUGAGCAUUCUAUGUGUGAAGCAUGUCAAUUAGGAAAAGCUCACAAGCAACAUUUUUCUACAACCGAAACCAAAACAACUCAAGUAUUAGAACUGAUACAUACUGAUCUAUGGGGGCCUUCACCUACUACAUAUAGAAAUGGUUUCAAAUACUACAUUAGCUUUGUAGAUGAUUACAGUAGGUAUACCUGAAUUUACCCACUCAAACUCAAAUAAGAAGCUUUUGAAGUCUUUAUAUUAUUCAAAAUCCAAGUAGAGAAUCAGUUCAAUACCAAAGUCAAGAUGCUGCAAUCUGACUGGGAGGGGAGAAUACAUAGUUUUUACUAACUUCUUAAACCAGAAUGGGAUCAUUUUCAGACAUUCAUGCCCUUACACACAUCAUCAAAAUGGUCUAGUAGAAAGAAAACAUAGACAUAUAAUUGAGUUAGCUUUGACUCUCUUAGCUCAAGCUAAUCUUCCUUUUAAAUUCUGGUGGGAAGCUGUUCAUACAGCAGUAUAUCACAUAAAUAGAUUACCAACACCUGUAUUGAAACUCUUAUCUCCAUAUGAGAAGCUCUUUAAGCAUAAACCAGAUUACAGCCUCCUUAAAUGCUUUGGUUGUCUUUGUUAUCCGUACUUGAGGGAUUUUAACAAAAAUAAAUUUGACUUUCAUACCAGCAAGUGCAUCUUUAUUGGUUAUAGCUCAUCUCAUAAGGGAUAUAAAUGUCUCACAAGCUCAGGUCGAGUUCAUAUCCUUAGACAUGUUUUUUAUGAAAGUGUAUUUCCAUAUACAACAUUCUCUGUUCCUUCUUCAUUUGAAAAUGUUGCCAACUCAGAAACACCAGUGUCAAAUUUCUCUAAACAGCAAGUCUAUCAUCUUUCAACUCUACCCUUAUUCAACAGCAGCUUUGAAGAUACUUACUCAGUAGGUGUACCAAGUGAUGAACAGAGUCCUGUUGUGCCUGAGCAUACAAAUAAUUUGAAUCAACAAGAAUCAUCCAAUUAUUCUUUAUCAAAACUAUCAAUAUCACAAGUUAUCCCUCAAAUCCCUGAAUAUACUCAAACACAACUUGAACCACAAACAAGCAAUCAACAACACUCUGAAAAUAAUCCAAACAGAAUUCAGAUCUCACAACCUACACACAAAAUGAUUACCAGAUCAAAGUCUGGAAUAUUCAAGCCUAAGUUGUAUACAACCACUUUGAUCAACAAAGAACCUGACACAAUUCAAGAAGCUCUGAAUGAUAAAAACUGGUAUAAGGCCAUGAAAGAGGAAUAUGAAGCUUUGAUCAGGAAUAAGACUUGGUCUCUUGUACCACCUCCAGCUGAAUACAAAAUAGUUGGAAACAAAUGGGUGUUCAGGGUUAAACAAAAUAGUGAUGGCAGUAUAGCAAAGUACAAGCUAGAUUGGUUGUUAAAGGUUUCCAACAAACUGAAGGGAUUGACUAUUUCCAAACUUUUAGCCUUGUUAUAAAGGCUUCCACAGUGAGGGUUAUAUUAAGCUUGGCUGCAAUGCAUAGUUGGAUGAUCAGACAGGUAGAUGUCAAUAAUGCUUUUCUGAAUGGUGACUUAACAGAAGAUGUCUACAUGUAUCAGCCUGAAGGUUUUGUUGAUGAGAAGAGAUCAGGUUAUGUAUGUAAGUUGAAGAAGGCUUUAUAUGGUUUGAAACAAGCUCCCAGAGCUUGGUUUGAUAAACUAAAAGGUUGUUUGGUUGCAAACUGGGGAUUUCAAAAUUCCAGAGCUGGAAAUCAAUUACAUUCCCAGUGAAGAACAGAUUGCAGACAUCUUGACCAAGCCUCUCACAUUCACUCAAUUCAAUUAUCUCAGGAGCAAACUUAAUGUGCAGCCAUGCCCCUUAAGUUUGAGGGGGGCUGUUAAGGAAGCUCACAGUGUACAAAAGGGAGUUGCAAAUUGAGCACGUGUGUGUCAAUGAUGAGUUAGCAGUUAGUUGAGUAAAGAAGCCAGCUCAGCAAAUCUGUUAAUAAUGUUUUACGUUCUGUUCUUCAGUUGUUAGUAAUGCUUUAAUUCUGUUGAGAUUUGUGAGUUAGUAUAAAUAAGGUUGUGAUUGUAUUUGUAAUUAAUAACGUGAGAUUCAAUAAAAGUAAAUAGUUUCUAAGAAAAUCUUAUCAUCAUUUUCUUAGCUUCCAAAGAACUUUUACAGUCACGAUCCAACUUUCCAACACCAGUUAAAACUGUUGUUUGGGUUACAAACAGAAUCAACCCCAUUAAUGACUCUUCUGGGUUGUUAGUUGUAAACGAGACGGGCAAUCUUGUUUUAACAAGCUAGAACAAGAGUGUAGUUUGGUCAGCAAACUUGAGCAAAGAAGUCCAGACUCCAGUUGUAUUGCAGCUACUAGAUUCAGGAAAUCUUGUCCUCAGAGGUGAACGAGAUGGCAGUUCUGAAACUUAUUUAUGGCAAAGCUUUGAUUAUCCUUCUAAUACAUUGCUACCGAGAAUGAAGCUCGGAUGGGAUUUGAAGACUGGUCUUGAGCGGCGUAUAACAUCAUGGAAGAGCCCAGACGACCCGUCUCCUGGAAACUUUACUUGGGCAGUUGAACGACAAGAUAAUCCUGAGUUAAUAAUGUGGAAGGGAUCAAGAAAGUUUCACAGGGGUGGCCCAUGGAAUGGCCUUGUCUUUAAUGAGGAUGAGCUGUACUACACCUUCGACAUGAUAGAUAAAGAUGUUUUCUCAAGGAUUGUUAUGAACCAAACACUCUAUGUACGUCAGCAAUUCACAUGGGAUAAAGCAACUCAAAGUUGGGAAUUGUAUGCAAAUGUGCCAAGAGAUCUAUGUGACACUUGUGCCCUUUGUGGUGCCUAUGGCAUUUGCAUCAUUAGCGAUACGCCUUUUUGCCAAUGUUUAAAAGGUUUUAAACCAAAGUCAAGGGGAUAUGUGGACUGGUCUCAAGGGUGUGUGCGCGAUAAGUCGUUAAACUACUCUACACAAGAUGGCUUUAUCAAGUUCAUUGAGCUGAAGUUGCCAGAUGCUACUUCUUCUUAGGUGAGCAAAAGUAUGAAUCUCUAUGAAUGCCAGGAUAAAUGCUUAGACAACUCUUCUUGUAUGGCAUACACAAAUUCAGAUAUCAGAGGAGAAGGCAGUGGUUGUGCCAUGUGGUUUGGCGAUCUGAUUGACAUGCGAAGAUUUCCAGAUGCUGGGUAGGACUUUUAUAUUUGAAUGUCUGCGUCAGAGCUAGGUAUCCGUUUACUUGUUUUAGUUACUCCAUUAUGAGAACUUAGGAGUGCCACUCCAGUUAGAUUAGUUCCAUAUUUUUAUUGUGUAAUUUAGUAAUGAGUUCAAAUUAAGAUGCUCCUUUCACAAAAAGCAGUUUCUGGGUAUGGCUUCUGUGCAUAGAAUUCUGCUGCUAUUUGAAUCAUUUUUUCUUAGCUAUAUGAUUAUUGACUUGCUUUGCUAUAUCUGAAUAUACUGAUCAAGGAGUGAAAGGUGAGCCUAGGACGAAGAUAGUGGUGAUAGUCAUUUCUACUACUGCUCUGUUAGCUGCGGUGCUUAUAGCUGGCUACUUGGUUCACAAAAGAAGGAGAAAUAUAGUGGGUAUAAUAUUGCUCCAUUUUCCUUCACAAAUUUUCGUUGACGAUUUGAUGCAGGAAAAUCAAACUCUUAUAAAUAUUAAAUUUACAACAGUCGAUUAAGUUUAUAUAUGCGACAAUAACUGUAUGUUUGUUUCAAGAUGAAGAGUUAACAGUGCAUAUCAUUUAGAUCAGCGGCAGGGCAAUUAAACUUGCAUUUAGUGUUAUAUCAAUACACGCCUCUUUUUCACCUAUGGUUCUUUAUUUACUUGCACUUUCAUAUUGACUGGAAAAUAACUUUAAUACAAAUUUACAGAUAAAGAACCUUAUCAUCAAGAACAUGAAAAUUGUAGUUACUAGUUAGUAGUUUAAUAUUGUCCAGUAUACACACUGCAUAUGUGCUUUUAGUUAAUAUUAUCCAAUAUUUCAGAGAAAACAAAAAAGGCUUGAGUUAGCUAGCACUGUUUGAGUUAGCUACAAUUGCUAAUGCCACCAAUAACUUUUCAAUCAACAACAAGCUUGCAGAAGGUGGCUUUGGACCAGUUUACAAGGUAAACUUGAAAGCUGCAAGUCAAGAAUACUUAUUUUACUGAUAACUAAAUUUGCAUAUAUCUUCCCAGGGCACCCUAGUGGAUGGACAGGAAAUUGCGGUAAAAAGGCUUUCGAAGAUUUCUGAGCAAGGAUUGAAGGAGUUAAAGAAUGAAGUUAUACUAUUUUCCAAAUUACAGCACAGAAAUCUGGUAAAGUUUCUUGGCUGCUGCAUUCAAGGAGAGGAGAAAUUGUUGAUUUAUGAAUUCAUGCCCAACAAAAGCCUGAACUCUUUCAUUUUUGGUCUAGGUCCCUGUAACCUUAAAAUAUUCGGCUAGCUUGUGCCUUGAUUAUAGACGUUUCUUAUGUAUUUUCAGAAAAUUUUGUGCUAACCUUAAUGUGGUAAUUUGUAGAUCAAGAAAGAUGUAAGAUAUUGGAUUGGCCCAAGCGUUUCCACAUUAUUUGUGGGACUGCUAGGGGUGUUAUGUACCUUCAUCAAGAUUCUAGAUUGAGGAUUAUACAUCGAGAUCUCAAAGCAAGUAAUGUGCUACUCAAUCAAGAUAUGAACCCAAAAAUUUCAGAUUUUGGUUUGGCAAGAGCUUUUGGUGGAGACGAAAUAGAAGGAAACACAAACAGAGUGAUUGGAACAUAGUAAGUACUUCUUGUCAUGUGAUCUUUUCGAUUCACUUGUACUGAUUAAUGAAAAUUAACUUAUAUAUUUUAAUCUUUUGAAGUGGUUAUAUGGCACCGGAAUACGCUAGUGAUGGGAAAUUCUCAGUAAAAUCCGAUGUCUUCAGCUUUGGAAUUUUAUUGUUGGAGAUAAUAAGUGGAAAGAAAAAUAGAGGAUUUUAUCAUUCCGACAACAAGCUUAACCUUAUAGGACAUGUAAGUAAAAUGCAUACGACUUUUUCUAACAUAGUUUGAACUAAUAAACUAUAGAUGAUAAAAGAGUUUUAAUAUGUUGUAGGCAUGGAAGUUGCGGAACGAAGGCAUGCCUUCACAAUUAAUCGAUCCGUGUAUUCAAGGCUCAUUCAAUCUUGCUGAAGUGAUAUGAUGCAUCCACAUCGGUUUGUUAUGCGUGGAACAGCAUCCAAAGGAUAGGCCAAGCAUGCCCUCAGUGAUUUUGAUGUUGGUCAGCAACUGUGUUGCCUCAGCCAAAGCAACCUGGUUACUUGGCGGACAGGAAAUCUACCAGACAAGAUUAUUCAUCAAGCACGCCUGAAUCAUGUUCAACUAAUACAAUUACGAUCUCUGAGUUGGAGGGUCGGUAGAGAAUUUAUUUGUGGUAUCAUGCCUUAUUCUACAUUGUCAAGCGGAAAAGCGGUAAUAUGUCAACCAAAUGGAAGGUUAAGAUAAAUGAUUGGAUAAAAAAUGAUGAGGAUCAUGAAAUACUAACUAGGCAACCCAAGAGGGGGGGUGAAUUGGGAUUUUAAAAUUUAAGCUAAGCAAACCACACAACAAUUUAAUCUAUUGCCUUAAUCAAAUUGAAAACAAUAAAUUCAAUCAUGCACAAUAUUAAAAGAGUAAGGGAAGAGAAAACAAACACAAUGAUUUUUACGUGGUUCGGCAAUCCCCGUCUACGUCCACGCCUCCAAGCUCACCGGGCUUGAGGAUUUCACUAAGCUAGCCUCCCAAGGCUUCAAACGCUUACAAUUGACUUCCAAGGUGUCAAUGGACCUUUACAACAAGAGAUUAUCCCCAAUCUCUUAACCCAAGUGUAUCCCAACACUUACAAUCUCUUAACUUGAUUUUACAAAAAAGAUUACAAAUGAAUCUCUCUCACACAAUGUGUUUGAUCACAAGUGAAAGCUCAAUGUGUGAAUGAAUGAGAUGAAUACAAAGAUUUAAAGCUCAAUGAAAGUUGUAUUCUCAAUAUUUUGCUCAAUGAUGAUCGUUAGAAUGAUUCUUGUUUGAAUUGGAUUGAGCUUAUUUAUAGUUGGAGCUGAAAACUAGUCGUUAUUGACUUUCUGCACACUGUCGGAUCGCCGCUAACUAGAUGUCGGAUCGCCGUUUGACUGGUCAAUAUGACCGUUGGGCUGAUAUUUCAAAUUGUCGGAUCGCCGUUAUCUAGAUGUCGGAUCGCCGUUAUCUAGAUGUCGGAUCACCGUUUAGGUCCAGAGGCUAAUCUUCAGUUCUGUUAGAUAUCGGCGAGCCAUUUAUCAAAAUUGUCGGAUCGCCGUUUAGGUCCAGAGACUAAUCUUCAAUUCUGUUAGAUGUCGGCGAGCCGUUAUCAAGAUGUCGGAUCGCCGUUUUCUACAGUAACUGCUACAGUGAAAUAUUUUCUAAAUUUAUAGUUUGACCCCAAAACUUUAUAAAACUGUGUUACGGCCCAAAACGUUAUAAAACUUUGCAAAUAGGUCCAAUUUUAGAAUUUCUAAGUAAUGCUUUGUUAAUCCCAAAACUUUCUGAAAUUAUGGUAUAGCCCAAAAUGCUAUGACACUUUUCAAAUAAGUCAUUCUCCAAAAUUUCAAGCAAUACUUGUUUAUUUCAAAGUUUUCAAAAUUCUUUCAAUUAAACCAUAAACUUUGAAAAACAACCAAUUUCAUAAAAUCAUUUUUCCAUUAAAUAUGAAACAUUUAUAAUGUGAAAAUAAUGAUUUAUUUAAAAAGAAUAAAAACAAUCAAUUUCAUAAAAUCAUUUUUCCAUUAAAUAUAAAACCUUUAAAAUGUGAAAAUAAUGAUUUAUUUAAAAUGUAUAAAAAAUAAUUUGAUCUUAAAAGAUUAAUCAUUCUUAAUCUUGUUUGUUAUCAUCAAAAUCAAUAUUAUGGAAACAUAUAUGUUAACAGAUCAUCCAGUGAAUGCAUGUUGUGGAUCUAAAAGUUCAGAGGAUAGGCCAAUUUUGCAGCUGACUACUUUGCUAAAAAUGCAGGCUCUAUACCUCUCGGAUUUCAUGUUUAUCAAGAACCUCCUGUAGGUCAUGAAUCUUGGCUUUGUUAUGAUAUGUAUGGGACAAUGAUUCCCCGCUCGAUUGUGUCUUAGCUUGGCUAAGCCUUUUUUUGGUUAAAAAAAAAUGGAAUGUAGACUAAUGUUCAUAUAGAAAUUGUAAAUUAGAGGUACUGUGAGCAAUGUUGGGUUCAAAAAAUGAUUAACCGAGAAUUAAAUUAAAUAAAAGCAAGACGUUAUAAUUUUUUUGAUAUAAAGUAUUUACUAAUACAUUUAUGAGAAUAUCUUUGGUGCUUUUGGAGCAUUUUUAUCUAUUCACAAUUUAUCACUUGUGUAUAUAUGUCAUCAUGAUUAGUAGAAGCAUACACAUGACAAAGAGUAAAUGAAAAAGGAGAAGCUCUCCAAUAGUACCCAAAAUUUUUCCUACAUUUUGAAAACCAUGUGCAAUAUACUCAUUAUCAAUACUAUUAAGUACAUCCUUUUCUACAUAAAUACCAAAAUUAAUAUUCAUCCAUUCAUCUCUCAUCCAAUUUCAGCGUUAAUUCUUCACGAACUUAUUUGCUGAAAACGUUCUCUCUACAGUGGUUGUGGGAACCGAAAGAAUUAUAGCUAAGUGUCACCAACAAAUAUAUUAAUAUUGUAAUGGAUAUUCUUUAUCUUUUUUUGUCUUAAACUAUUCUUUUAGCAACUUAUUGAUUCCCUUCAUUCCGACAAACCUGCCUAAUUGUUCUUUCCUAAUUUAACCCAAGCCCUAAUUUUCUUUUUAGAACAAGAAAGAUAAAAUUUGUGAUUGGAGGAGUGGCUAAUUAUUAUUUUUAAUAAAUUUGAAUCUAUUUUCUGAAAUAGAAAAAUGUUUUGGGUUGUGGUUAUUAUUAUUUUUAAAUAAAGCGUGAGUUUAAAAGUUCAAGUUAAAAUUUAAAUUUUGUAGGUUUAUGAAUGUAUAGAGGCUAUUUUAAUAGGUUGAUGAAGGUUAAUUAGAAACCCAAAUGAUUUUUUCUUUUAUUUUGUAUUUUUGUCUUUCACAUGCUAAAUCCACCACUCCUACCGAUGAUUUAUUUUUAUUCUAAUGAUCAUAAUAAAAAUCUUUUAAAAAUUUUACUAUUUUAUCAAAAUUAUAUUUGCCCCAACUUUUUUUUAACUACAAUAUUUUUUUUUCACCACAACCGUAACUUUUAAUAUAACUUAGGUUAUCAAAAUUUUGAGCUUCAUUCAACCAACCAUAACUAUCAUGAUCAAAGUCUACGUUGCUUGACUUUCAUUCAAAACCGGGGGGAUAUGUGGACUGGUCUCAAGGGUGUGUCCGUAAUAAGCCAUUGAAUUACUCAAGAAAAGAUGGUUUUAUCAAGUUUUCUGACCUCAAAUUGCCAGAUUCUACUUCAUCUUGGGUGAGCAAAAGUAUGAAUCUCAAGGAAUGUAGGGAGAAAUGCUUAGAAAACUCUUCUUGUAUGGCUUACACAAAUUCGGAUAUCACUAGAGGCGGCAGUACUGUGUUAUGUGGUUUGGUGAUCUGAUUGACAUCAGAUACUUCCAAAAUGGUGGGCAGGACUUGUAUAUUCGAAUGUCUGCUUCAGAGCUAGGUAUCCGUAUACUUAUUUAUGUCAUUCCAUUAUGAGAACUUGGGAGUACCACACUAGUUAGACUAGUUCCACAUUUUUAUUGUGCAAUUUAGUAUUGAGUUCUGAUUGAGAAGCUCCUUUCUCAUAAAGCAUUUUCUGGGUAUAGCUUCUAUGCAUAGAAUUUUGCUGCUAUUUGAAUCCUUUUUUUCAUAUCUAUAUGAUUAUUGACUCGCUCUGCUAUAUCAGAAUAUGCUGAUCAAGGAGCGAAAGUUUGACAUCAUUUCUUAAUCCUAGUGUCCAUCUCGAUCGUUUUGAUGGAACUAAUUUCACUCGUUGGAAAGGAAAAUUAUUUUUUCUCCUUACUGUUCUUAAAGUAGCAUAUGUUCUUGAUCCGAAAUUGGAACCAUUUCCAGAACCAAGAGAAGAUGAUACCGAAGUUGUUAAGGCUGCAAGGAAACGUCGUGAAGAUGAUGAAUUGAUGUGCCGGGGUCACAUACUCAAUACGCUUUCUGACAGGUUAUAUGAUCUCUACAAUUCUAUGACUUCUCCGAUGGAAAUUUGGAAUGCUCUUGAGUACAAAUACAAAACGGAGAAAGAAGGUACUGACAAAUUCCUUGUCUCUAAAUAUUUUGAAUUUAUUAUGGUAGACACAAAAUCCAUUCUUGAUCAAAUACAUGGGUUACAAAUUAUUGUUGCUAAGCUUCGAGAGUUAAAGUUGAAAUUUCUGAAUCAUUUCAAGUUGGGGCUAUUAUUGCUAAAUUGCCUCAAAGUUGGAAUGAUUAUAGAAAGAAACUCCUUCAUAGUAAAGAGAACAUAACCUUAGAAGAAUUACAAAAACACUUGGUAAUCGAAGAAGAGACAAGGUCUCGCGAAUCCAAGGAUAAGCAUGAUUCUAAUAAGGUUAAUGUUGUUGAAGCUAGUAAAAUUUCAAAGAAUUUUAAAGUCAAGAAUGACAAGAAAUUCAAGAAGUCCAGCACACAAAAGUUUUCUGGAAAUUGUUUCUUUUGUGGCAAGAAAGGUCAUCGCCAAAGUGAUUGCAGAUUCAAGAAGAAAAAGGAAGAAGUGAAUUCCCAUAAAGCUAAUGUUAUUGAAAACAAAUCUGAAGAGAUUUGUGCUAUGGUUUCUGAAAAGCAAAUUGGCAUGAUUACCGAAACCAAUAUGGCUGAAACUAAGUCCUAUGAUUGGUGGCUCGAUUCGAGUGCAACAAUUCAUGUUUUUAAUUAUAAGAAAUUUUUCUUAUCAUACAAAGAAGAAACGGAAGGACAAAUGGUUCUCAUGGGGAACAAUAAUGUAGCCAUGGUAGCGGGGAAAGGAGUAGUUGAGAUCAACUUCACUUCUGAAAAGAAAGUUACAUUGUAUAAUGUCUUUCAUGUACCUUCCGUUAGGAAGAAUCUUAUUUCUGCUAGUUGUAUGUGUAAGCAUGGGCUUAAGAUUGUGCUUGAGGGUAAUACUUGUAUUAUCUCAAAGAAUAGAUUAUUUGUUGGGAAAGGGUAUUCUUGUGAUGGAAUGUACAAACUCAGCAUUAAUAAUAAUAAUAUCAACUUAGCUUAUAUUAUUGAGUCUUGUGAUGUUUGGCAUGCUAGAUUAGCACAUUUGAAUUUUAGAUCUUUGAAAUACAUGUCUAAGCAUGGUUUGACUAAUUGCAAUGAUGUUAAAGGUCAUAAGUGUGAAAUCUACAUCCAAGCUAAAUUAACUAAGAAACCUUUUCCUAAAGCCGAACAAAAUACUCAAAUAUUGGAUUUAAUACAUACCGAUAUUUGUGAGUAUAAUGGCGUUUUAACAAGAGGAGGUAAGAGGUACUUUAUCACUUUUAUUGAUGAUUGUUCUAGAUACACUUACGUGUAUUUACUUAGAACAAAAAAUGAAGCUUUUGAUAAAUUUAAAAUUUUCAAAGCUGAAGUUGAGAACCAAAAAGAUAAGAAAAUCAAAAUGGUUCGUAGUGAUAGAAGUGGUGAAUAUUUCUGAAUUGAAUUUAAUAAUUAUUGUGAAGAAUUUGGAAUUAUUCACCAAAGAUCAGCUCCAUUUACUCCUCAACAAAAUGGUUUGGCUGAAAGGAAGAAUAAGAUCUUCACGGAUAUGAUAAAUUCCAUGAUCCUUAAUGCAAAACUACCAAAUAAUUUGUGGGGGGAAGCAUUACUCACUGCAUGUCAUAUUCAUAACAGAAUUACAUCUUUGAAAACACAUAUAUCUCCUUAUGAAAUUUGGAAAGGAAGAAAACCAAACUUGAUGUAUUUAAGGGUUUGGGGUUAUUUACCUUUUUAUAAAAUACAUGAUCUUAAAUCAUCAAAGUUAAGUGCUAGAGGUAUAAAGAGUGUUUUCGUAGGAUAUGCUGAAAAUUCCAAGGCUUAUAGGUUGUUAAUUCUAAUGUGAUUGUGGAAUCUAGAGAUGUUGAAUUUAUUGAGAAUAAAUUUCAACAUGAUUCUAAUAUUGAAUUAGAAUCAAUUAUUGAUCAACCAUGUGUUAAUACUUCUGUUACCUCCAUUAACAAUAAUAAAAGGAAAGAGUCUAUGACAUCUUUCGAACCAAUAAGGAGUCAACGUGAAAAGAAAGAAAAGAGUUUAGUUCCGGAUUUUAUUUCAUCACAAGCACUACUCUUCUUGGUUGAAGGGGAUAGAAAGAAUGUACUUAACAAAGUACCAUUGUUGUUAAAUAUUGAAAAAGAUCCAAAGACAUUUAGCGAAGCUAUGUCUUCUAGAGACGCUUCUUUUUGGAGAGAGGCGGUAAAUGAUGAAAUGGAUUCGAUUAUGUCGAAUCAAACAUGGGUCUUGGUUGAUCUUCCUCCAGGAUCUAAACCAAUUAGCAGCAAAUGGGUAUUUAGAAGAAAGUACAAUAGUGAUGGUUUUUUGCAAACUUGUAAGGCUAGAUUAGUAGCCAAAAGGUUUAAGCAAAGAAAUGGUAUUGAUUAUUUCGAUACAUAUGCUCCGGUAGCAAGGUUAACUUCUAUAAGAGUGCUAUUUGCAAUUGCUUCAUUGAACAAUUUGUAUGUGCAUCAAAUGGAUGUUAAAACCGUUUUUCUUAAUGGUGAUCUUGAGGAAGAAAUCUAUGUGGAACAACCUGAGGGAUUUGUUUUGCCAAGAAAUGAGAAAAAGGUAUGCAAGUUAGUCGAAUCACUUUAUGGUUUAAAGCAAGCACCAAAACAAUGGCAUGAGAAAUUUGAUUAGGUAAUUUUAUCUCAUGGUUUUAAGCAUAAUAAUGCUGAUAAAUGUAUAUAUUUUAAAUUUACGAAUGAUUUUGGUGUGAUUAUAUGCUUGUAUGUUGAUGACUUGCUUAUCUUUGGAACAAAUAUGCAAGGAGUAAAUGAUACAAAGAAGUAUUUAACUUCACAAUUUAAGAUGAAAGAUCUUGGUGAAGUAGAUACUAUCUUAGGUGUCAAAGUGAAAAAACAUAGUGGGGGUUACUCGUUGUGUCAAUCUCAUUAUAUAGAAAAAGUGCUUCUUAAAUUCAAUUAUUUGAAAUUUAAAGAAGCUAAUACCCCAUAUGAUUCUAGUAUUAAAUUACUAGAGAAUUCAGGCCGAGUAGUAGCACAACUAGAAUAUGCUAGUGCUAUUGGUAGCUUGAUGUAUGCUAUGCAUUGUACGAGGCUUGAUAUAGCAUUUGCAGUUUGCAAAAUGUCAAGAUUCACGAGUAACCUUAGUGUUGAACACUGGAAAACAAUUGGUAGGAUACUUGGUUAUCUUAAAAGGACCAUUAAUUUGGGUUUUUUUUAUAAUGAUUAGCCUGAAGUACUGGAAGGAUAUUCAGAUGCUAGUUGGGUAACCAAUACAAAAGAUAAUAAAUCCACUUCUGGUUGAAUUUUUACAAUUGCUGGAGGAGCGGUUUCUUGGGCUUCAAAGAAACAAACAUGCAUAACUCAUUCAACAAUGGAAAGUGAGUUUAUAGCACUUGCAGCUGCAGGCAAGGAAGCAGAAUGGCUGAGAAAUUUGUUGUUUGAUAUAAUGUUGUGGCCACAACCGAUGCCAUCUAUUUCUUUGUACUGCGAUAGUGAAGCUACAUUGUCUAGAGCUUAUAAUAAAGUGUAUAAUGGAAAGUCUAGACAUAUUAGCUUGAGACAUGAAUAUAUGAAACAAUUAAUAGCAGAUGGUGUUAUUAAUAUUGUUUAUGUUAGGACUAAUAAGAACCUAGCGGAUCCUUUAACAAAAGGUCUUACAAGAGACUUAGUUAAGGAUACAUCUUUUGGAAUGAGAUUGAAACCUUUAAAUAAUAAAGUCACCAACGAUGGUAACCCAACUAUGUAGUAGUUGUACUGCUACUCCAUAGUUAAAUGGGUAAUAAUAAGUUGUUGUUAUGUGACUGGUUUGGUACCGAGUAAUAAAUAAUCACAUUCGAGAUAUUCUGUGCAAAUAGCUAUGAGGUUGAGGUUGAGUAUUUACUCUUAAUGAAGUUCAAGUCUUAUAGUAGCUAAAGACAUGAUUUGAAACUUCAACUAAGUGAACAUAAGAAAUGGUGUCGUUUCUAACAAGAUCGUAGUUUAAUCUUGUAAAUGUUCAUGAAUCCAAGAUAGAGCACAAGGCCGGAAUAGUGCUAAAUAUUGGAACACAACUUCGAAAUCUGGGACAGCUUAUAUGUGAUGUAUCUCUAGUAUUUACUUAAGAGACAAAGUUUAAUGCUUAGCACACUAUUGUCUUGUAAAUACUUUGAAAUACACUCACUAAUUAAAGGUUAAAAUCGAAAGAUACCUUUUUGUAUGUAUAAGUUCAUCAUUAAUAAAUCUAAAAAAUAUUACAAUCUAGUGGGGGAUUGUAAGAGAGAUUGUAACAUUUUUCAAUAUUUGGUUUGAUAUUCUGGAAGAAAACGGUUUGCCGUUUUUGGAGAAAACGGCUAACCGUUUAAUUCCAGAGAGUAUGUUUUCUGUUCUAGAGAAAACGACUAACCGUUUAGAGAAAACAACUAACCAUUUAUUUACAGAGAGCAACUUAUUUGACAUUCUGGAAUAAAACGGCUCGCCGUUAUUGAGAAAACGGCUAACCGUUUAUUUCCAGAGAUCGUGUUUUUGCGUCAAUGGGAAAAACGGUUAGCAAGCUUGAAAAUUUCAAUUGUCUAUCGAUGCAAAUUCAAAUCAAAAGAGUGUCUUUGAAGAAGUACCAUUUCUAAUGGUUGUAUUCUUUCAAAUAAACAUCUUCUUCAUUAAAAGAUAGACACACAAUUAGAUCAAAUCAAAUUUUACAGGUUUCAUAUAUGUUCUGGAAAUACAAUCUUAUUUGCUAGAGAUUGUAUUCAGGAUUUGAUAUAUCUUGGGGGUAAUUUGCCAUUAAAACUCUAUAGCAAACCAAGAUUAGUGAGGGCAAAUAAAACCUUAAAGGAAAGUGUGCAAACACGUCUCAAAUCCUAAGAAAUUUUCUUUGUUCUUUGCCUCCAUAUUCUUAAAAUUCACCAACAUUUAUGUCUUGGCAGGGCACGCAAUUGGAUGGGCAGGAAAUUGCUGUGAAGAGGCUUUCGAAGAUUUCUGAGCAAGGAUUGAAAGAGUUAAAGAAUGAAGUUAUACGAUUUUCCAAAUUACAGCACAGAAAUCUUGUAAAGUUUCUUGGCUGCUGUAUUCAGGGAGAGGAGAAAUUGUUGAUUUAUGAAUUCAUGCCCAACAAAAGCCUGGAAUCUUUCAUUUUUGGUCUGGGUCCCUAUAACCUUAAAAUAUUCGGCUAGCUUGUGCCUUGAUUAUAGACUUUUCUUAUGUAUUUUUAGAAAAUUUUGUACUAACAUUAAUGUGGUAAUUUGUAGAUCAAGAAAGAUGUAAGAUAUUGGAUUGGUCCAAGCGCUUCCACAUUAUUUGUGGGACUGCUAGGGGUCUUCUCUACCUUCAUCAAGAUUCUAGAUUGAGGAUUAUACAUCGAGAUCUCAAAGCAAGUAAUGUGCUACUCGAUCAUGAUAUGAACCCAAAAAUUUCAGAUUUUGGUUUGGCAAGAGCUUUUGGUGGAGAUGAGACAGAAGGAAAUACAUACAGGGUGGUUGGAACGUAGUAAGUAUUUCUCAUCAUGUGAUCUUUACAAUUCACUUGCACUGAUUAAUGAAAUUUAACUAAUAUAUUCUAAUCCUCUGAAGUGGUUAUAUGGCACCGGAAUACGCUAGUGCUGGACAAUUCUCAAUAAAAUCCGAUGUCUUCAGCUUUGGAAUUUUAUUGCUGGAGAUAGUAAGUGGAAAGAAAAAUAGAGGAUUUUAUCAUUCCGACAAAAUAGAGGAUUUUAUCAUUCCGACAACAAGCUUAACCCUAUAGGACAUGUAAGUAAAAUGCAUACGACAUUUUCUAACAUAGUUUGAACUAAUAAACUAUAGAUGAUAAAAGAGUUUUAAUAUGUUGUAGGCAUGGAAGUUGUGGAACGAAGGCAUGCCUUCACAAUUAAUCGAUCUGUGUAUUCAAGACUCAUUCAAUCUUGCUGAAGUGAUACGAUGCAUCCACAUCGGUUUGUUAUGCGUGCAACAGCAUCCAGAGGAUAGGCCAAGCAUGCCCUCAGAGAUUUUGAUGUUGGGCAGUGAGACUGUGUUGCCUCAGCCAAAGCAACCCGGUACCUUGGCUGACAGGAAAUCUACCAGACUAGAUUCUUCAUCAAGCAUGCCUGAAUCAUGUUCAACUAAUACAAUUACGAUCUCUGAGUUGGAGAGUCGGUAGAAAAUCUAUUUGUGGUAUCAAGCCUUAUUCUACAUUGUCAAGUGCAAAAGGAGUAAUGUCUCAACCAAAUGGAAAGUUCAGAUAAAUGAUUGGAUAAAAAAUGAUGAGGAUCCUCCAAUGAUUGCAUGUUGUGGAUUUAAAUAGAACGUAGACUAAUGUUUAUAUAGAAAUUGUAAAUUAGAGGUAACGUGAGCAGUGUUGGAUCCAAAAAAAAAAAAAAAUGAUUAACCGAGAAUUAAAUUAAAUAAAAGCAAGACGUUAUAAUUUUUUUAAUAUCAAAUAUUUGCUAAUACAUUUAUGAGAAUAUCUUUG
rnacentral:lncRNA from 1 species